rnacentral:rRNA from 1 species
UGAAUACGAGAUGCUACGGCAUCGAAGCAGUCUAUGUCAUACUUCCAAGAAAAGCUUGCACUGUCAUAAACAAAUAAUGCCUGUACCAUAACCGACACAGGUGGGUAGGUAGAGUAUACUAAGGGGCGCGAGAUAACUCUCUCUAAGGAACUCGGCAAAAUGACUCCGUAACUUCGGGAGAAGGAGUGCCUUAUUUUAUAAGGUUGCAAUAACAAGAUCCAAGCAACUGUUUACCAAAAACACAGGUCUCCGCUAAGUCGUAAGACGAUGUAUGGGGGCUGACGCCUGCCCAGUGCCAGAAGGUUAAAGAAGUUGGUUAGCAUUAGCGAAGCUGAUAACUGAAGCCCUGGUGAACGGCGGCCGUAACUAUAACGGUCCUAAGGUAGCGAAAUUCCUUGUCGGGUAAGUUCCGACCCGCACGAAAGGCGUAAUGAUUUGGAUACUGUCUCGGAGAGGGGCUCGGUGAAAUAGACUUGUCUGUGAAGAUGCGGACUACCUGCACCAGGACAGAAAGACCCUAUGAAGCUUUACUGUAACUUGAGAUUGAAAUUGGACUUUAUUUGCGCAGUAUAGGUGGGAGACGUUGAAAAUAUUCUUGCGGGAAUAUUGGAGUCAUCAGUGAGAUACCACUCUUAUAAUGUUAGAUUUCUAACUUUGUAUCAUUAUCUGGUCAAAGAACAGUCUCAGGCGGGCAGUUUGACUGGGGCGGUCGCCUCCCAAACGGUAACGGAGGCGCACAAAGGUUUCCUCUGAACGUGUAGAAAUCGUAUCUAGAGUGUAAAGGCAUAAGGAAGCUUGACUGUGAGACCUACAAGUCGAGCAGGGACGAAAGUCGGUCUUAGUGAUCUGACGGUGCUGAGUGGAAAGGCCGUCACUCAACGGAUAAAAGUUACUCUAAGGAUAACAGGCUGAUCUCCCCCAAGAGUUCACAUCGACGGGGAGGUUUGGCACCUCGAUGUCGGCUCAUCGCAUCCUGGGGCGGUAGUACGUCCCAAGGGUUGGGCUGUUCGCCCAUGAAAGCGGUACGCGAGCUGGGUUCAGAACGUCGUGAGACAGUUCGGUCCAUAUCCGGUGUAGGCGUUAGAAUAUUGAGAGGAGCCUUCUUUAGUACGAGAGGACCGAGAAGGACAUACCUCUGGUGUACCAGUUAUCGUGCCAACGGUAAACGCUGGGUAGCUAUGUAUGGAGAGGAUAACCGCUGAAAGCAUCUAAGUGGGAAGCCCACCUCAAGAUAAG